GCAUUGGUGGUUCAGAUUUUGAAUGCUCGCCUGCCACGCGGGCGACCCGGGUUCGAUUCCCGGCCAAUGCA
rnacentral:tRNA from 1 species